AAGCCCAUGAUGAGGACAUCUUCUUAACAACUCUUUAAACAACUCCCAUGCUUCAUAUAAAUUCUCCAUGUCUACUUGCACAAAAUUAGUUAUAUCAUUCCUCGUCU